UAAAUAUCAAUGACCGCGUAAUGAGUAGAGAAUAAGCCGCUAUAUCAGAGAGCUGGGAUUGCUGGGAACCAGUAUAUGCUUAGAAUCGAAUUACAAUGCGCUAAGUGGUCAGACGUGUGAUUGACGUACCAAUCAAUGAGUGAUGCUAGGCAACUAGCAUAAUUCGGGUGGUACCGCGAACUUAAACUUUAAGUCGUCCCUAUA
rnacentral:ncRNA from 1 species